rnacentral:rRNA from 1 species
UACAGAGGUCUCAAGCGUUGUUCGGAUUCAUUGGGCGUAAAGGGUGCGUAGGCGGCCAACUAAGUCGGAUGUGAAAUCCCCAGGCUUAACCUGGGAACUGCAUCCGAUACUGGAUGGCUUGAAUCCGGGAGAGGGAUGCAGAAUUCCAGGUGUAGCGGUGAAAUGCGUAGAUAUCUGGAGGAAUACCGGUGGCGAAGGCGGCAUCCUGGACCGGCAUUGACGCUGAGUGAGCGAAAGCCAGGGGAGCAAACGGG